ensembl:ncRNA C33F10.20 ncRNA
GCAGCAGCAAGAUGGUGUAAUUUGAUCUUUUCUCCCGCGUUGCCUUACCCAGGUUACUCUUUAUUUUCUCCCUCCUCUUUUAAUCGUUUGUUUCCUUAAUUCUUUUGAGUUUUGAAACACACUUGAUGUGUAUAAUAGAUGAAGAACAAUUGAACGAAAAAUGGGUGACGGAUGGCAGUAAUUGGUAGGAAGUUAAUGGGGUUCCUUAUCCCAACUUUCUUCUUUUUUACUCAUUAUUGUCUCGUUUCGUGAUCAUGGAUUAUUCAUCAGAAAAUCCAGUUAGCUUUGUCUUGUUUUUUUCUUGGAGGU